AAUUGUUUCAUGCCAGUUUAGGCCAUGCACAUCUAAAGUGGAGUUUGUAAGUCGGUGAGUGAACUUGAAAUAAGAUUCGCAUCUAUGUGUUUGUGUUCUGUUUUACAGAAAUGCAAUGGUAGAAGCAAUGUGCGAUUCGAGCGACUUUAGCUAGAAGGAAGAAACUCGUCAUAAAAAAUUUUGAAGAGUUGUAUGUUAAAUAACAUAUCUGUCGUUUAUGCUAUAUUGGCGAUGUAAUUCUGUGCUUAAAAUUCUGUGGUGUUCAUUUACAAUUCCAGUCAGUGGUUUCCUGUGUCUAGUGCACGCAUGAACUCGUCAUUGAGAUCUUUAUAACGCUUGAAAAUACUAGUUUCACGGUUAUACUUGCUUGCAUACGGGACCAGAGUAAAAUAGUCCAGUAUCGCAGAGCUCGAGGUUUGGAAUCUCGUUGAAGCCUGAAAUUCUUUAUUACGCGUUCUAUGCAAUAUGUUUAAACUGCUACAAAAUUGUGAGUUCUGGUUUCCUUAACUGUUGACCGGCUGACUUAAAACCGUGUAUUUUGCAGCCAAAUUAUUCUACAGCUAACAUACUACUUGCUGAAAUUUUAUAAGAGCGCAAUAUAGUACGAAAUAUCAAUUACGUACCAGUGGAAAUGACGUACAUUUUGCGUAUAAUUCAAGCGGACGCGGUGCAUGGUACAGCAUGAAAACUUAACGCUUUGUUGAUGAUUUUCUUGACUCUCCUAACCAGAAUAUUCAACGGUGUACUGAUAUAGGAGAAACUGAAUUUGAUCAUUCUUCAGAUUGAAUAUUUUGGUCUAUUGAUUGGGCGAUCCGAAUGUUCGAGUAUAAGAACUUAUCAUUGUGUUAUGUCCUCGAUCUUGGGCAAGACAACGUACUUGACUUAAGCAGUGCCCCUCUCCACCUAGGAGUAAAAAUGCUGAUGGCUACUAAAUCUGACAAAAUGGGAGAGGGGUGGGGAUUUAAAGUUUCCACAAUGGCAGGUCGAGUAAACAAACUGCAACUUCAAUAUACUUUGUAUAGACCCACGCUUGACAGUUCCAAUGAAAGGGAAGUCGUAAAUAAAGUGUACAAUUUCGAUGCUCAUUUAUCUGAAAGGCUUGCUACUUUUUUACAGUUUUAUGUGAUCGAGUGGGCUCCCACCAGAGCCUAUCCGCCUUGAUGCACUUAGUCGAAGGAAGAAGUAUGCCCACUACCCCUUGUCCAUGGGAACAUUCUCUGUAAGGAAUCUACGCGCGGACAAGCAGAACGUCUCAAUGAAACACGGUCGAGCGUGUCCCAGUCUCGUACGCUUCCUCGCGUGCUACCUUUGCACAUGCGCGGCUUUAUAUUUGUACUUCCGGUACUACUUGAUGGAUGAGCGUGACUAUGGGACGCCUCCGCCUGCCGCCGUCAUUCACGACAACGUGUUUCGACCUUUUGAUCCCUUCUCAUCAAGCAAAGCUGCAAUCUCGCCCAACGAGUUGUUUGAGAAAUUGCAGAGCAAGUAUAUGGCUCCAAAAAGACCAGGGGUGUUGGGAAGGAUCAAUGGUUACGCUUGGCAUAAGUCAGAAGAAGGCAUUGUGACGCGGCUAGAAGAUUCACCAGGGGGAAGUGUCAAAUUACAGUCCCCUUCGGUCGCUGCAGAGGAAAGCCAAGACAAAACUUCAAGUUCUUCAGUUAGGCCAGAUAUAAGUUUUGCAAAAUAUAGCAACGUUAGCGAUAAUAGCGACGAUUCAAACAAAACACAAGAUAGCACGCAGGUGGUAGGAAAUUCAACCGACAACCAAGCAGACAUCUCAAAAAACACUUUUGACUUAAAGUUGGUACAGGUAAUCUCGAAACCUAAAACUGUACAGAGGUCGUCGAUUUCUCGUCGAUUUCAAGAUUUCCGUCGUCAGUGGUUACGUCAACGCCGCGCACGCGUAGACUGGCAAAGUGUCAUGAAGCCGUGUAAUGACAAUAUGGCUUGGGGCCAAGUAAAUGACGGCUGGAGCAAACUAAACAGAAGUAGCGCUGUUGCUAGUGAGGUCGUGUUCUGGGACAUCAGACCGGCGGGAGAGUUUAGUAAGAUUUUUAUUCAAUCAAAAACCUCGGACAAUCGAACGAAGACGAUUGGUGGAGACUCUUGGAGGGUUUACGUACAUGGCCCAUCAAGCGUUGCGGCCACUGUUUUUGAUCACAAUAAUGGAACUUACGAAGCUCUAUUUCUUAUCGGUGAGCCUGGUGUUUAUCAAGUUAUUAUACAUCUGGAUUACAGUCUUUGUGAUGGAUUCAGAGAUCCACCACGUGACUGGUUCAUUAAAGGCAACGCUCAAGGAAAGUUCCAGAAAGACGGCCUUCUAGGCACGCUGGAUGACUACUUGAGACAGCCCUUUAAGAAUGGGGAACCUUUGAUUAUAACAGUCCCAGAAGCACUACUCAAUAUAUCUUCAGUAGAAAAACUCGGCGAGGGACUGGAUUCCUGUAGUCACACCUGCAAUCACUUAUGGGAUGGAUUUGGUCGAUGGACAAAUAACCAAUGGAAACCAGACCUUCAAGAAUCCUACAACUGGUCGUUGCCAAUUGGGUAUCGACCGAGGGGUGUACUGUGGGUUUAUGGUGAUUCACUUGCUCUACGUUUCUUGGAAUCUGUACAGUCUCGUUUUCUUUGCUCAAGACUCUAUGUGGGAUGUCGCCGCAGUUACAACUGGAUAUAUCCUGUAAUAAGCGAGGCUGUAAGUAAGCACGAGGACGAUAAUCUAGAUUUCCAGCCUGGCAAGGUCAUAAAAACUAUUCUGAGUGUUCUUCAGAGACCGGAAAUGCAACGAAAAGAAAGUGUACUGCUCUUAAAUCUUGGACUACAUUUCCCUAUCAGUGUCAAUUUUACGACAUACCAGAGGCUCAUUGGUAACCUGAUAAACACGUUGAAGGAGACCAAAGUAAAUUCACAAGGGAGAAGAGUCCCGAGGUAUAAAGCUAAAGUUAUUUGGAAAUCAUCGACCGCCAUACACAAAGAAAAUGCCGAAGUGAAAAACAAGACCAACUGGAGAUUUUUUACCACACAGCGAGUUCAACUGUUCAGCGCUUACGCCAUGUCCGCCAUGUGUCAAGCGGGGUUUGACGUCAUAGACGUGUAUCCGCUGACCGAUUCAUAUCCGGGUGGCAUAGUGGACGAGGUUCAUUAUCCCAAUAAAGUGUUUGAUGCAGUGGAGACAGUGCUGGAGAAAUACAAAGUGCACAAUAACAAGCCAGUAGACAGUAACACAACGGAAAGGAGGAUAAAACGCUGUGUUAGCUGAAAGGCAUUUUGUUUAUAACAUCAACGUGUUAAGAUGUUUGUUCAAAAAGGCCUUGUUUAAAGUGCCCAUAAUGUCUAAACUUUUUUUUGCUCAUUUUUUUGCUCAUUUUCGAUUUGGAUAAAAUGCAAUUGUUUUACGAAUCUUUACAAAGUUCAAAAUUCUAUUAACUUGCGGUCGACCCCUGCCGCUGAAUAACGUGUUCAAAAUGGCCACGAGACUGAUGCCUGUUACGUAGGUUCAGGAACCUACGAUGAAGACUGAUGUUGUUUUCUGGAUCAUUAACGUUGUUACAAAGAGCGACAACGCACCUUUCCGGCAUUUUCAACUAAAUGUAGACAACUCUGAAGCAAAAUUUCCACUUGUUUUCAAGUCAGAUAGGUCAUGACCCAAAUCACGUGUUCCUGAACCUACGUCACGACUCACUUCAAACCGAGGAAGACUGGUGCGAAUGGUGGACCAUAAUGGCGGCAAAUU
rnacentral:misc_RNA from 1 species